rnacentral:rRNA from 1 species
UAUCCUAACCGUGCAAAGGUAGCGUAAUCACUUGUUCUUUAAAUGAGGACUAGUAUGAACGGCACCACGAGGGCUAUACUGUCUCCUUUUUCCAAUCAGUAAAACUAAUCUCCCCGUGAAGAAGCGGGGAUAGAACUAUAAGACGAGAAGACCCUAUGGAGCUUUAAACAAUAUAGCAUCUGCCACAUAAUAUAAAAAUUCCUGAAUCUUAAAACCUCAUCAGACAGUGUGACUGUAAGUUUUUGGUUGGGGUGACCACGGAGCAUAACAUAACCUCCAUGCUGAAAGAAUACUUUUAAGCUAAGAACUACCCAUCUAAGCAUCAAUUUAUUGACACCCAUUGACCCAAUAUAUUUGAGCAACGAACCAAGUUACCCUAGGGAUAACAGCGCAAUCCACUUCAAGAGCCCCUAUCGACAAGUGGGUUUACGACCUCGA